rnacentral:rRNA from 1 species
AUUGAACGCUGGCGGCAGGCCUAACACAUGCAAGUAGAACGAGUGGCGGACGGGUGAGUAAUGUCUGGGAAACUGCCUGAUGGAGGGGGAUAACUACUGGAAACGGUAGCUAAUAACGCAUACCAUCGGAUGUGCCCAGAUGGGAUUAUCUAGUAGGGGGGGUAAAGGCUCACCUAGGCGACGAUCCCUAGCUGGUCUGAGAGGAUGACCAUCCAGACUGGAACUGAGACACGGUCCAUACUCCGACGCGAGGCAGCAGUGGGGAAUAUUGCACAAUGGGCGCAAGCCUGAUGCAGCCAUGCCGCGUGUUGUAAGAAGUCCUGCGGGUUGUAAAGUACUGUCAGCGGGGAGGCGUUACCCGCAGAAGAAGCGCCGGCUAACUCCGUGCCAGCAGCCGCGGUAAUAC